CAGAAUUUGAGAAGAUCCGUCCAGCCAAAGCAGCAGAGGUCUCAAAUGAGAACAGUAAUAGCAGUAGCUCUAAAAUAUACAAUGUGGUUGGACUGUGAUAAUGUGUCUGUGUGGCAUUGUCUACAGUUUGAAAUGCAGCAUCCGAGCAGAGAGCCCGCGUGAUUAUGCCGAACAUUGUCAUUAAUGACUUUGCACGUGGACAGGCAACCCAUACUAACCUAAGACAGCCACAAACAAUACCCUUCACACCAUUUGAAGGGAGGUUAAUGGACCCAACUGCAGAAAACAUAGAGAAAGCCAAAGCUGGAAACGUAAAGGUGUCAGUACCCUGGCUGACAUGCAAAAAGGAAAAUCCUGACCCUGAUGGCCACCCUAUUACUGGUUCAGCAGAACAUUAUGUUCUUUAUGACUGGUUCCAUGAGGACAACACAAAGGAUGCUCGAGAUUCACUGCGGAAGCUUCGCCUAGUCGCGCAACUAGCUGGGUGAGUUAACAGCCAAGUCGUGGAACAGGUAUUUGCAAAACUAAAAAAAAAAAAAAAA